ensembl:lincRNA
AGCAGCCUGGGACUCAAUUAGAGGGAGGCGCUGGAACCAAGACGCCAUCCCAGGUUCAGACCCUGAGAGGGUUAACCCUUGCCCACCCCCACCAAGCCUGACUCUUUUCUCACCAGAGUGGACACAACUUGAAAACCAACUGGACUGAGCAUCCUUCUCCUAAAAUCUCAGCCAGAAGCCAGGAUGGAGGGUCCUGGGAAGGGAAGAGAUGAGAUUUCUGUGAUUUUUUUUUUUUUUUGAGACAGAGUUCUCGCUCUGUCGCCCAGGCUGGAGUGCAGUGGCUGGAUCUCAGCUCACUGCAAGCUCCGCCUCCCGGGUUUACGCCAUUCUCCUGCCUGAGCCUCCCGAGUAGCUGGGACUACAGGCGCCCGCCACCUCGCCUGGCUAGUUUUUUUGUAUUUUUUAGUAGAGACGGGGUUUCACCGUGUUAGCCAGGAUGGUCUCGAUCUCCUGACCUCGUGAUCCUCCCGUCUCGGCCUCCCAAAGUGCUGGGAUUACAGAUUUCUGUGAUUCUAAAACCUUGGGUCUGCCUGCAAACUUCUCUCUGACCCCGGCCGAGAGCUGUGCACAUGCUAGCUAGCCCUGUCAGACAAUAGCCUAGUGUUCCCGUCACAGUGCCUGGGAAUGAGAGGCUUCUGAGGCCACAGAAUGAUGACAAGUCCCCGGGUUGAAUUUACUCUGGGGGGACAAAAUUCUGAGAGAUUCACAGGUCCUUAUCCAGGACAACCUCACAAAGAGCCCUGAAGCUUAGCUUCCUCUGCUUCGUGCGUAGUUUGAGGCAUAAACUUUCCUUGUAUGUCGGUCAGAUGAAGCGAAGGAUGAAUAUUAUCCCAGGCUAAAGUAAUGAAAAGUCCAGAAGCCAGCGAUGACAGAGAUGUGUGUGGAAGAAGGCUGUGAGCAUUUCCAUCAAACCCUGUGGAUUUCCGAAGAUCUUAUCCCGAAGAUAUGUGUUUGGCCAAUAAAACAGCAGUGCAGCAAGCCCUGCCCACUUCCUGCUCACGUGCCUAGUCUGCAACGACCAUUUACUUCAGGAUAUGAAGUCAACAGCAGAGCCCAAACAAUAGUGAAGUGGCUCCCAGAGCCAAACUCGCCGGCCUGCUUACCGGCUCAGAAUUGCCCCAUCUUCAACACGAACAAGUGCUUCUGGAACAAAUACCAGCCAAUUGCACACAGUCCAGGGCUUUGACAUGAAAUAUGAAUCAACUCUACAUUUAUACACGACAGUGUCAAUUUUUUAUCUAUUGGAGUUACUAUAUUCCUUUGGUGGCAGAACGGAGGUUCCCAGGGGAGCUAUUAAGAAAAAGCUUUUCUGGCCCAGGUGCAGUGGCUCACGCCUGUAAUCCCAGCACUUUGGGAGGCCAAGGCUGGUAGAUCACCUGAGGAGUUUGAGACCAGCCUGGCCAACAUGGUGAAACCCCAUCUCUACUAAAAAUACAAAGAUUAGUCGGGCAUGAUGGUGCAUGCCUGUAAUCCCAGCUACUUGGGAGGGUAAGGCAGGAGAAUUGCUUGAAUCUGAGAGGCGGAGGUUACAGUGAGCCAAGAUUGUGCCACUGCACUCUGGACUGGGUGACAGAGCAAGACUCUGUCUCAAAAAAAGAAAAAAAAAAAAAAAAAAAAAAAAAAAAAAAAAAAAAAGCUUUUCUGGCCUGGCAUGGUGGUGCAUGCCUGUAAUCCCAGCUACUUGGGAGGCUGAGGCAGGAGAAUCAUUUGAACCCAGGAGGCGGAGGUUUCAGUGAUCAUGCCAUGGCACUCCAACCUGGUCAACAAGAGCGAAACUCUGUCUCAAACAAACAAACAAACAAAAGACAGCUGGCCAAACAGCAAUAUGUNNNNNNNNNNNNNNNNNNNNNNNNNAAUUUUUUUUUUUUUUUUUAAAUAACAAAUUGU